rnacentral:hammerhead_ribozyme from 1 species
GUCCAGAGGAUGAGUCACAAAUAGAACGAAACGCGAGUCCUGGAU